rnacentral:lncRNA from 1 species
CAAGUGACGGGUGUAAAUUGUAGGAUUGAUUGCUUUGAUUAUUGGUUGGUUAACGUCCAGUGGAAAAUAUUUCAUGCAUGUUCAGGACGAGAACAAGUUAACAAUAAAUACAAUAGGUAGGUAUUGCAAUAGAGGCAGGGCAUCCGCGAUGAUGGUCGGGAAAAUUUUAACUGACGCUAUACAUGUAUAUAUAUACUUAAAAUAAAAUAAAAUACUUGUAUACUUGUUCUAAAAACUAAUUUUAAGAAAGAAACUUUCCGGGCCUUUUCCGACGCCUAGUAUGCGAGCAAUAUGGCCCUCAGAGCCCUAAAAGGUAACUUUGUUAAUUUUCUUUCAGUCGUUUUAUCUCCCAACUUGUACAUGUACAUUAUUUCCAACUCAAAACUAAAAAAAAACACCGAAUACCCAUGCAAGCGUAAAUUAACACGAAUAUAAAAUCUAAAUGAUUUCAAGAUCUAGCUUUUUUUACAGUCUCUUGCCGUUUGAAUAAUAAAAAGUCAGUCGUUUGCAUGUAAAUUUCGAGAAAAAAAAAUUAUAACGGAAUCAGGGAACACGGAACCGGUCUGACUACAGCCAGCCUCAACUAUCAACUUGCAUUUGUAGACGCAAGUGGAUACUCGGGGCUGGCUUUAUUCAGACUGUAACGGAACCUGAAUUUUGUUAUUUUAUUUCUGCCGAAUCAAGUGCCCAUGUAUUUCUCAGCCUUCGUUAACUUUCUAAUGCUUUAUUCCGAUGUUGCUGUCCGUCCUGAGUAGACCUGGUUUAUACGAUUACAAAGCUGGCACUGAAUUUUAAAAUAUUUCCAAAACUAUAUCGAAUUUACUCUGUACAGAUCAAUGAAUUUCAAAGACUGUUUACACAUGGAACACAGGAAAAGUUAUUCGGCUAAAUAACCACUUUUUUACAUUCCAUACAAACAAACUAUUUUCUGUAUGAUUUUUAACGUCUGCUUGUAUUGUGCUUUUCC